rnacentral:rRNA from 1 species
UACGUAGGGGGCAAGCGUUGUCCGGAUUUAUUGGGCGUAAAGAGCGUGUAGGCGGCUUUACAGGUCCGUUGUGAAAACUCGAGGCUCAACCUCGAGACGCCGGUGGAAACCGUAAAGCUAGAGUCCGGAAGAGGAGAGUGGAAUUCCUGGUGCAGCGGUGAAAUGCGCAGAUAUCAGGAGGAACACCGGUGGCGAAGGCGGGUCUCUGGGCCGAAAUUGACGCUGAGGAGCGAAAGCGUGGGGAGCAAACAGG